GACGUAGGGCGCGAGCGUGUCCGGAUUUAUUGGGCGUAAAGAGCUCGUAGGCGGCUUGUUGCGUCGGCUGUGAAAACCCGUGGCUUAACUGCGGGCUUGCAGCUGAUACGGGCGGGCUGGAGUUCGGUAGGGGAGACUGGAAUUCCUGGUGUAGCGGUGAAAUGCGCAGAUAUCAGGAGGAACACCGGUGGCGAAGGCGGGUCUCUGGGCCGAUACUGACGCUGAGGAGCGAAAGCGUGGGGAGCGAACAGG
rnacentral:rRNA from 1 species